rnacentral:tRNA from 1 species
GAGGGUAUAGCUCGGUGUCAGAGUGUGUGCUUAGCAUGCAUGAGGUCCUGGGUUCAAUCCCCAGCGCUGCCA